rfam:Ornithorhynchus anatinus chromosome X1, whole genome shotgun sequence.
AAGAAAGAAUCAUAAUGGUAGUGAGAUUGGCUUGAAACCAAUAUUAGGGGGUUCAAUUCCUUCCUUUCUUG